AGGCGUGUCACGCUCCGCCGCCAUCUUGGAGGCGCGGGGCUGGGCCGCCACGCGGGGCAGCGCCCCCCCCCCCGCCCCCCCCCGCCGCGCGGGAGGGGGCGGUGUCCUAGCAACGGUCUCCACGGAGCGGGGGCCCCUAGCAACGGGGCCCGGAGCGGGGCCUGCCCCGCGGCACGCCGGGCCUCGGCACCUCUUACUUGAGGCCUCGUCCAGGCCCUCCGGCCUCUCGGCUGCUCCGGGCGGGCCGUGCGGACGGCAGAUCGGCCGCCCCCGCGAGGUGCGUCGAAACGCGGGGAGAAGUGAGAUGGUGGGCGCGGAAGUUCAGCCGCCGGCCCGAGACCCGCCAGGUGCCCGCCUGCUGCUCAGGGCCGCUCCCGCUCCCCGCGCCCACCGCCUGCCGGGCACGCACGGCUCCCACGGCAUCUGUGCCCGGUUUGGUUGCAGACCCCAGCAAAGCCUACUGCUUCAACACAGCCUCUGCUCUCUACGCUGAGUUAAAUAAGCACAGAAGUCGUGGAGAACCCCCAGGAGACGCCCAGCCGGGAGCUGCCAGCCCACGGGCCGCGCCCCGGCACGGCGCAGCACGAGGCAGAGCCCGCGGGCCGCACGGCCCGAGCCGGGAGCCGGCGCUGCAGCGCUGCUGCCUUACGGCACGCCGAGAGACUCCCAGCACAUUCCAGCAGCACCAGCUCCCCCGUGGCCAGCAGCUACCAAUGUCAUCAGGACAACAGCGGGAGAAGCAAUGGCUCUCUGGCGAUGCUCUGUGCUCUGUGCCUGGCCAGGCCAGGUGGUUCCUGUGGCACACUGUGUGCCUGCCCAGGCAGCCCCUGCAGGGACAGGGCAUGAGGAGGCGGCUCAGCUCACACCCGCCCUGUUCUGUCUUGGGGACACAGCAGUACACACAGCCACCAAUACAUCACGCUGCUCCAGGUCUCUGCCACCAUGUAAAAGGCCAUUGCUGACUACCAGUGUGACAGCAUCUUGACGUGGGCUUAAGCCUGGAGGAACACAGCAAGGAGCCCAAGUGACAGCGGCAUUAGCCAGUGCUUCUGGGCCAGGACAAAGGCUCCUGAGUCCAUUCCACCAGUGGCUCCCACUCCAGCCACUGAGCCGAGUGACACCUCCAAGUCACAAAGAACUGCACAAGAUGAAUUCGGGCACCCCACAGCCCAUCCUCUUCCUUACAAGAGCCAGAGGUCAGCACAACAAGAGCCUGCUUGAGCCCAGGCUCUUUGCGACACCAUCUGCUGCUACAGACGUGCCACCUCCCUGGCCCCAUAUAUAGGUCAGGUCUGUCACAGGAUUAGCUGGGGCGAUUGGAGUGAUAUGAGGAAGGCUCCCACUGGAGGCAGGCUUUCCCCCAGCCUCUCCUGAACACUCAGCAUGCCACUGGCUUCCAGACAUACUCUCCCCAGCCUCUCCACCAAGUCCAGGAGAGAUCCUCCCCUCCCCACCAUCUGCAAAACAAGAAAGAAGAAACUGGUACCAAGCACCAAGGAGUUCCCAGCCUUCAGGGAGGGACAGCAGGAGAAUCCCCACCCUAUCCAAAACCUGACAGAGACCAGGUGACGUGGGACACCCCAACAUCAGCAGGUGCUGCACGGCGAGGUGCUUUCCUGCUGGGGAGAGGAGCUCCCUCCCUGCUUUGCACACCUUGGUGGAGCUGAGUUCGCUGGCAGAGGAGGCAAGGACGCCUUCGCUGCGAUCGCACACCACCCACUCACACCCCCGGGCUGCCAGCACUCCCAUCAAACGCCUCCAGCCACACGCGUGGAGACGCUGACAUGAGGAGCGAGGAGCUGCACAGGCAGCGGAACUGAUAACACCCAGUUUCCUGUCGAUCUCUCUCCCACGUGGAUUCUCUGAUGUCUAAUAGCAAGGCUGAGCUGCAGUGCAGAACUAGCAGUCUCUUCCUCCCCAGACCUUUGAGAUAGCUGCUGCACUGCUGAUCUUAACUGAAACCAGCCAGCAAGUUCAAAGCAGAGAGAAGACUUGCAAAUAAACAGUAAGCUUGCGCAAGCCUUCAUUUCCUCAGGACAGGAAUCUGCAGACGUAUCUCCACCUUUCUUCAUUUGCCCUAGAAACAGCUGCACGACCUAAGCAGCGUGACCAGAAGGCUGUGGUGCAGCAGCUCAGGUACCUCUGUAGUUCAGCAGCAUCCAGCAACGGGAAGCACCCUGCCUCAGCCCAUGUCAGAAGGCAUUCAGCAGCCUGCAGUGGCCCCCUCCCAUGGCCACAAGCACUGUGAACCAUGCUCACCUCCGUCUCCUUUCAUCCUGCCACAGGCAGUCCCACAGCUCAGCUGUACAUGGGCGCGGGGAGACGAGCCAGCACAUCCAUAUUCAUCCCUAUCCUGCCACCUGGGCAGCCUCCAAGCCCUGCCACUCCGUCCCUCCACGGGGCACAACGCUUCAGGACUCCUCGCUGCUUUGCCCUUCACGUGUUUACUCUCCAUUCAUACAGCUCUGCCUUAAAGCAGAGACCCCACCUCCCCCAGGCCGCAGCUACCCAAGGGAGCAGGGCUACAGCCUGCAUCCCUCUGCAAGCAUCCCACCCAGCCCUGCCCGCCCUGCACACUGCGUACACUGCGCCAAGGGGCAGCCUCCAGACACCUCCCCGCUGCUUUGCCUGCUGGGCACAGGCCGGACCGCUCACACUGCCCUUCUGCUGCUGGCGGCAGCACCUGGCAAAAAGGACACAGGCAGAGCCAGGAGCCGACGGAUGGCAGCAAGCAAUUCAGCAAAACGAAGCGCCUCUUGAUAGCGCGGGUGACGGUCAGGAAGUUGGGUUGGGUGCUUUGUGUUGUAUUUUAGGAAGCCUGCAGGGACACCAACAACCCGCAACAAGCAUUUUCAGAAAGGAGCUCAGACAAAUUCACAAUUUGCAGCCGCUAUUUGCCCUCUUUUGUCCUUUUAAUUUGCCGGGGGGCUGCUUUCAAGAUGCACUGAAACAGGCGCUGACCACUGCCUUAAGCACGAAGGAAGUUUGCUGCCAUACCUCCCCAGUACAUCACUCACAGAAAACCCUGCACCAGUGCCUGGGGAUAGUUUUAAGAGGGGAAAAAAAAAAACCACCAUGAUUUCCAAGCUGACAGCCCCUGUGCACAAAGCGCGACUGUGCAGUGACAACAGAGCAGCCUGGGGCACAGGAGCUGGCUGACCUCUGCUACAGCUCUCGCCGGCAGAUUUUUAUUGUUCACCACUCGCCCAAAGCACAGGCACACAGAGCAAAGCAACCAAGGCACUCGGAUCAAAAAGCAAACGCAGCCGGGGAGCCGCACCGGCACAGCAGGGAAAAGGCAAGCUGCUGGAGGGAAGCAGGCUCUGCGCCUGCCUGGCCAGGGGAGGAAGAACCGGAGCCAAGCCCCUUCCUGGAGCCACAGCGCAAGGUGCUGGAGCCUGCGGUCACCUCGAGGCAGGCUCAGCCCACAGCAGGCAGCUCAUUGCUAACAGCACGGCCAGUCCCUCUGCUCUCUGUGGUCAAGCUAGAACCUGCACGCUGCUUUUUGGCGUAGCCAAGGGAAGCCCAGGGUGAGGCCACCGUUGGAAGAUGAGGCUCCUGAGGUGCAGGCUGUGGGCAGUGCUCCCCUCACUCUUGCCUUGCAGGCGGCCAAGCAGGGAGCCCUCCCAAAGCACCCCACUCUAGGACACCUGGUCGAGCAAACCCACCAGCCAACCUUUCCUCCAGCACGAGGCAGGUGACAAACCACAUUUCUACAGCUGGCCCUGAGCAGGGAGCCAAGGGACAGCAGGAAGAUGCCGUAUGCCAGCAAUUCGCUUCAGAGAUGAAAACCCAACAGCAUCAAAAAGCUCCGUGCUUUGCUGCCGACAGCCAGUGCUGGCUGCCCAGCCGUGCCCCGCGGCCAGGCUCACGUGACUGCAAAGUGGAUGCACACAGUAGGAGUGGCUGUAGUGACAGCGUUACCACUUGUGUCCGACACACAUCUAAGCCCAGCAAAUCCCAGCGCUCUGCAGCGCUCAUUUACAAACCCCACACGCUCUGCACAGGUACGCAGGCUUCAGCAAGAGCUCAGUGCCCAUGGCCUGCUGGAGACACCCAAGGAACAGUGAGCAUAGGGCUCUGGGACCCUCUGACGUGCAAUGAUGAGCCUGUGCCAUGUGCAGGGCAGGGAGAGCCCUGGUUCGAGCCAGGAGCCCACUGUGCAUCACCGCCACUCCGCGAUGUCAGUGUGCUCCUGCUCCAUGGACACUCACGCACAUGGAAGUGGGGAUACCUGAUGGGAUCAGUGGGACCUCACCCCAUCCCGCUCUGCUUCCCGUGGCUUUGUUUCACACCAAGCCUGUGAUGCAGGACUUCACCAACGGUGGACGCAACGCCACGAGCCAAAGCCCUACCUGCUGGCUGUUACUUCAUUCCUCUAACAGGUCCAUAAAACAGGGAUAAUUAAAUCUCUCCUAAACUCUCUUCCAUUUAAAAUAAAAAUCUAUAGUCCCUAUUUCA